rnacentral:misc_RNA from 1 species
UCAGGCUGCUUUGCGUCUUUUAAGCGACCGUUAACUCGUCCUGAUCGAGAGAGAGUGUGUAUAAUGUGGUGAUAUGCGAGUGAAACGAGAGUAAACAAGAGGAAAGUGGGCAGGGUGCUGUGGGCACUUGGUGAUGGGUGGACUCCGCACCGGGCGACUCAAGGAACUCGUAAUAGUGACGAGCUGUUCUCCAUCUGCACUGAUCCGGUGUUCAUGUCAGUACGAACAGGAGAAUGAAGUGAUGGCGUUUUGGUAGACGUGCUUUCUUAUUUUUUUUAAGGCAGUACAGAUAAAUUCAAAACAGGAAAAAGAGAAAGAGAGAGAAAAAAAAAAAAGAAAGUGAGAAUGAAAGGAUUACCUAAACGCUGGUGAACGUGUAAUUUCCCAGAGUUUUGAUGAGCCACGAAGAAGAUGUGAUUUCCUGGUGAUUUCUCCAUUUCCUCCUUACUCUACUUGUGCGUGUGAGACAGUGACCCUAAUAGGUGCUAUGCCAUAUGACUUGAAAGAAUCGUAGAAAGCUGAAGAUGCUAUCAAAAGUGAGUGACAUGGUGGAUGCCAGAUCUAGAGGAGGAUAAACAGACAGUGGAAGCAAGUUCCUUAGGGUUGUCAAGAUGCCUUCCUUGCUAGCUUGUUUUGUGUGCGGAGGGAAGGGGGAGAGUGACGAUGUGCGGGUGCUUGAUUACCGUCACUCUGCUCUCAAUGACGUGCCUGCAGAUGUGUUUGCUUCAGAACGCACGUUGGAGGAGCUGCUCUUGGAUUCCAAUCAGCUGACUGAGUUACCUCGUCAGCUGUUCUACUGCCAUGGCUUGAGGGAGCUUGGGCUAAGUGAUAAUGAGUUGACAUCCCUUCCUCCAGCUGUGGCAUCCCUCAUCAAUUUAACUUCCAUAGACCUCAGCAAAAAUGCCAUAUCAGACAUCCCAGACAAUAUUAAAGGCUGCAAGCAACUUGCUGUGGUGGAUGCCAGUAUCAACCCCCUGUGUCGUCUACCUGAGGGUUUCACACAGCUGCUUUCUCUGCAAGAACUUUAUCUGAAUGACACUUUCUUGGAAUACCUUCCCGCUAACUUUGGCCGAUUAUCCAAGUUGAAGAUUUUGGAGUUAAGGGAAAACCAGCUGAAUACGUUGCCAAAGUCCAUCGCACGUCUCACAAACCUGCAGCGCUUGGACAUUGGGCAGAAUGACUUCUCUGAAUUGCCAGAGGUGAUUGGAAGUCUUGGCAACUUGACUGAACUCUUGUUCGACAAUAACAAAGUGAAGUCACUUCCACCCAUGAUGGGCAAAUUGAAGAAACUGCUUCAUGUUGACGCAUCAAAGAAUAAAAUAGACUGGGUCUCUGGAGAACUGGAAAACUGUGCAGUGCUCACAGAUUUACAUCUCUCAUCCAAUAAUCUUAAGGAACUGCCGGAGAGUCUGGGAGGUUGUAGUCAGUUGCAACUUUUGCGUCUGGAUGACAAUGCCCUGACUCACCUCCCUGAGUCGCUUGGUGGUCUGGCAGCCCUUGAGGAACUGGUUGUCACUCAGAACGACCUGGAGACUUUGCCAGCCUCAAUUGGGCUACUUCGUGCUCUGCAUACUCUCCAUGUGGAUGAUAAUCUCAUAACAGAGUUACCACCAGAAAUUGGUUCUUGCAUUCAGUUGACAGUCCUUACCGCUGCAUCAAAUAGACUGACGAGUGUCCCUGCUGAACUGGGUCACCUUCCAAAAUUGGCAGUUCUAAAUCUUUGUGAUAAUUUGAUUCCUCAUCUGCCUGUAUCACUUACAAAACUAAAGCUAAGGGCUUUGUGGCUUUCUGAAAACCAGAACAAGCCACAGGUCCAGUUGCAAUCAGACACACUGCCAGAAACAGGGCAGCGUGUUCUAACAUGUUUCAUGCUACCACAGCAAGUUCGCUCUCAUCAGCCAGAAAUGGUGGUUGAGACGGACACCUUCCCAGGCCAGGGAUGGGAUGAGCAGAGGAGAGCAAAAACUCUUAUUAAGUUUGCCUUUGAUGGUGAUGUUGACAAACCAGGCCGCUUGACACGAGCCCCAACACCCUACCCCAAAGAACUCAAGGCACUCGCCAAGCAUGCUCGUAACUUGCACAGCUUGCAGAAGGACCCCUCACGACAAUUUGUGCUCGGGCGUUCAGAGGAUGCUGGCAGGGUGUCAUCUCCCGCACAGCCUGCUAAAGAGGACAGUGAAGUGGCUUCAGGCAGGCGGGACUCAGAUAGUGCUCUGAGGCAGCCACUAAUAGAACGCACGGCAAAGUCUGGGGCUCCUGUAGAUGAUUCUGUGGAUGCAGAGGAUGCUAGUACGCCCCUGACUGUUGUAGAACCACAGGUGGAUGAACGGCCACAGUUGAGAGAAGCUCGGAAUGUGCGCAAGAGCUCAAACCCUGAUCCCAGUGUGUCUAAUGCACCUAAGAGCAUGAAUUCUAAUGGUACAAGUGCUGGUGGGACAGACCUACCCUAUACUAUUGGGGAUAGGAAAGUGUUUGGCCAUGCACAGGUCAUUGCCAUGAAAGCUCCUGGAGACACAGUAACCAAAAACACAACCAGUCCAGCAGAGGAAAAUGGAACCUCACAGCAUCCCAUGACUUCAUCUGAGGGGUCUGGCCCUGCAGAAGGAGAGCAAGGAGGCGACACUCCGGACAAGCGCAUCAAAAAGCCGCCACCUUACCACAUAGCAGCCGUCAUGUCAAGGCAUGCAGCCGACUUCCAAGAGGCGAGUGUCGAGGUGUCUUCAUCACAGGGAACAAAUGCACAGGGAGGGGCUGGUCUGACUGUCAAGGAUCUGCCAGGCUCACAGCAGCCAUUAACUGUGUCAUCAACCACUGCCAUUGGUGAGGACGAAAACAAUGACACAAGUAGUUCCAGUGACAGUGGCUAUGGCAAUGGGAAAUCAUCAAGUCAACAAACUGCCGAAGAACAGCAGUGCAGUGAUUCCUGUUCAAACUCACCAUCCUCACCGCAGAAUCUGACAGAUUCCAGCAUCACUAUGCCCUCCACCCCCACCUCACCUUUAGGGAGUGCAGGAUCAGCUGCACCAUCCUCGAAAUCCUUCAUGGUUACAAGUUCCAUGAGGCCCCCAAGUACUCAUUUGUCGCCCAUCACUACCACAGGGUCUCUUCCAUCAGACCGCCACUCAUAUGCUGCUCCACAGCAUUCCUCCUCACCACUUGUGCAAGCCUCCAUGGGACAGCAUAUAUAUUCUUCUGGCCACUUGUCAUAUUCACAAAAAAUGCAGACUAACACUACUAUGACCAAUGCUCGCCCAGCCUCCAUUGCGGCAGGGCAACAGCUGGAGAAUCAGAAUAGUGGCUCCAUGCAGCGGCCUGGGUCUUUGGCUCUUGGCACGCUAGCAGAUUCAGCACUUCUCAACCGGCUGCCUAGAGAUCAUCGACCAGGAUCUUUGGCAGCACCUAUCAAUACUGUUGGCAUCCCACCUGCUCCAACAAGGGCUGUGUCUCACAUGGGAUUGAAUGUCUCCAGUCCAACAAGAGCACGUGAUCCCACUAUGUUCAGGAGCCAAGAUUUAUCACGAGCUGGACGCGGAUUGUCCGUAGCAGAGGAACGUUUCAUUGGAACUGCUAGUGCUCGUCAGGAGAGCAAUGGUCUUGUCUCCAUUAUUGACCAGGUAACAAGCAGUUUGCUGGAACAUGGGGAUAGUCCCCCUCCCAAGACUCCAGUGACCCCUAGUGCUCCUUCUUCCACUUUUCCUACCACUUCACCCACAACAGCAACACCUCCAUCCAAGCUGGCAGGCACCCAAGUCACCAGUGAUAGGAUACCCUUAUCAGCAUCUGAUUCUACAACAUCAGAAUCCUAUGUGACUAGUGAUACAAGUGGCAGAUCCUCCCUCUCUUAUCAACGUGGUGUGGGUUCAUCCCUGACCAGUAGUGGUGGACUCACCAACUUCACUCAAGACCAACCUCGAGGUGAGGUUUUGCAUCCAACUCCACAUCGACCACAUAUUAUCUCUCCUUCAGGCUCCAGACAUGGAUUAGACUCUCUGCAAGACCCCAGUGUGGGUACUCCAGAUAAGGUAGCAAUGGGAGUCCCUCAACAUAUUGAGACUGGGACUUCCCCUCCCAGAACAGCACCUAAGCCUCAGUCAAGAAUCCCAGCACUCAGUCCAGAGAGUUAUCCUGGUGUUACACCUGGUAAGGCAAAUCAUAAAACAAGCUUUGACUCUCCUGCUAGUCACAGUCCUGCUCAGAUGACAGAAUCUCGCAUACCCUCUAUAGGCAACAUUGGCCGUUCUCCCAGUAACUUGACCAGUGAAAGAUCAAAUGAGAGUCAUGUCUUACCUGAGUCAAGAAUACCAACCCUUGGUGCCAUGGGAAGAAGCCCAAGCAAUCUCAAUCAUGAAAGUAAGACAGAAAGUAGAAUUCCAACUCUUAAUAACAUGGGACAUAGUUCCUCCAACUUACUACAUGAUAAGCAGACUUCAGGAGAAUCACGAAUACCCACUCUUGGAAGCACUGGGAGAAGCCAAAGCAACCUUGGUCAUGAAGCACCAACUACACCCGAGUCUCGUAUUCCAACAAUAGGUGCAGUGGGUAGAACAUCUAGUAACUUGACACGUGAAUCCAUUGGGCUGAAAAAGCCUGCCAGCUCACAUGAAGGAGUCACAAAACCUGCAUCAAAUCUUAACACACCACAGCAGCUUAGAACAGCUGGAAUGAAUGGAUCAGGUAUUCCAAGUUUAGCCUCACAGGGGAGAAGCAAUAGCAGCUUAGGAUCAGGCAUCCCAAGUCCAAGCCCAACUUCUGCAGGGUUAAGAACUGGCAUCCCCAAGCAUGAUGCGACAGAUGGGCUAACCAAGAAGCCACUGGUGUAUGGAGGAACAAGCCAAGUGUCCUCCACAUCUCGCCUCCAGUCCCCAAGUUAUUCAAGUGGCAUUAGGCCCCCUACCUAUUCAUCAGCUAGUCCUCUGCCCAGUCCAGUCCAACACCCAUCUGGCAGUUUUACCCAGUCCCCAGGUUACUCAUCUGGCAUCCGACCACCCUCUAUCAAUUCAGCAAUUAACACCCCAGGUAUUCCACUACCUUCUUCAGGAUCUACAAGCCACCUGACCAACCCAGGGUCAAGAGGGUCAAUCACGUCAACAGGAUCUGGGACUCGCAUUCCAAUGGUUGCAGGAAAUUCUGCAUCAAGACUCCCUGCACCCAGUGCCAACAAGCACCGUGUGUCUCCAUCAGCACAAAAUGCAGAUAACAAGACAAACAAUUCAGCGUGGAUGUUUGGCCAGCACAAAAAUGCCCGUGUGGUAUGUCAGAAUUCCAGGAAGGUCUGGGUUCCUGAACGAAGAGUGUCCAAGUUUCACCUCAAAUGUUCCCGGUAGUGAUAGAGAAAAAUCCAGGCCUUGGCUUCACGAUUGGGCUGUCAGAUUCUGACGCAGAAGAUAAGAGUAUUUAUGUGACGAGUGUCGCAGGAGGGGGGGCAGCAUCCUCAGCCCUCAAAGUUGGGGACAAGUUGCUACA